CGGAGCUGGGGCCGGAGGAGGCGGGCCAAGCGACUUCCCGGAGUGGCGGAACCGCUGAGGUCACCCUCGCCCCGCUCCCCUGUCUGCCCCACCCGGCCGGGCACCGCGCGCAGCCAGCGGGGGCGUUAGGGAUCCGGAUCCUGAAACGGGGACUUCCACCCUCUCCACAGACCCAGCCCAGCGUCCAUGGGGCACCCAGCGCAGAGAGGCACGGAAAGCGGGCACCUCCCAGCAGACAUGGUGGGAUGGGGGGCAAAUGCCAUAGCGGAGGGAGUGGGAAGCCCUCCGGAGCCCAGGGCAGGCAGGAACGAGUUCAAACAGGAGACUCGGGCCAGGGGCUGGCAUGGGAGUGGGGUAGGAAGGAGUGGGGGGGAGUGUUCCAGGACAAAGAAGCCUUAAAACCACGUGAGGGGGACAUCUGGUUCUGGGAGAGCAAAAUAGAGAAGUAGGAGUGUGUUUGGCGGGGUUAGGGUCCCUCCCCAGCAGGUGGAGCCUUUUCCCAGGGGCACAACCUAGGCCACCCUUGACUGAGCAGUUUUGAAGGUACCCUAGACCACCGGAUCAUCUUCACAACGGUCCCAUUAACGAGAUGCUCUUAUUGUUAUACCUUUUUGGUGAGAGAGGUUAGGUAAGGUACCCAGGGCCAUGUAUCAGGCAGCAAGUCCCUGAACCAGGAUUCGAAUUCAGCCAGUCUCUUUCUGCACUGCCUUGCAGCCCAGGCAAUGGAGGAGGCGGUGGAGGAGUCACCCCAGCAAGGCUGUGCAGUGGGGGGGUGGUGCUGGAAGAGGGGCGGGACGACAAAGGACAGGACCUGGCCAGGUAUGUGUGUGCAGGAGGAGUGGAGCCCACAGUAGGUUCUGAAGUCCGGGAAGGAAGGCCACAUUGUUAUACUAAAAUAUCAUUCCUUGUUUCACC